rnacentral:rRNA from 1 species
GACGAACGCUGGCGGCGUGCUUAACACAUGCAAGUCGAACGGAAAGGCCCUGCUUUUGUGGGGUGCUCGAGUGGCGAACGGGUGAGUAACACGUGAGUAACCUGCCCUUGACUUUGGGAUAACUUCAGGAAACUGGGGCUAAUACCGGAUAGGAGCUCCUGCUGCAUGGUGGGGGUUGGAAAGUUUCGGCGGUUGGGGAUGGACUCGCGGCUUAUCAGCUUGUUGGUGGGGUAGUGGCUUACCAAGGCUUUGACGGGUAGCCGGCCUGAGAGGGUGACCGGCCACAUUGGGACUGAGAUACGGCCCAGACUCCUACGGGAGGCAGCAGUGGGGAAUAUUGCACAAUGGGCGGAAGCCUGAUGCAGCAACGCCGCGUGCGGGAUGACGGCCUUCGGGUUGUAAACCGCUUUCGCCUGUGACGAAGCGUGAGUGACGGUAAUGGGGAAAGAAGCACCGGCAAACUACGU